AACUGUAACCCGCUCGAAUACCACUCCAGUGCUUUUCUCCUCUCCCUGUCUUGUUUCCCGGUUCUGUCACUCUUUAAAAACGAUGUAGCUAUCUGUUGUCUCUCCAUCCGACUUUUCUGAAGCUGGGCUGUACUUUUUGAUUGAUAUGGCGUUCCCCUGUCUGUUUGCCUGAUAGUGUGUAUGCGUGACAAGAAAAUGAGCUACUCAGAAAGCCCCAGACAUUGAUAUUCCUCUUUUUGGCCGAGGGGCUCUUGCGAUAGUAUGUUAUGGUUUCCAAAUUUCCAAACUGGCCGCGCGGAUUCUUCCUCUGAGACCCCCAUCUUUCCACAUGCUUCAAUACCUAGGU
rnacentral:sRNA from 1 species